rnacentral:rRNA from 1 species
AGUAACACGUAUGCAACCUGCCUGCCACAGCCGGAUAAUCGGGAGAAAUUCCGUCUAAUACGGCAUAAUGCAUCGACGGGACAUCCUGUUGGUGCCAAAGGUUGAUUCAGGUGGCGGAUGGGCAUGCGUCGCAUUAGUUAGUUGGCGGUGUAACGGACCACCAAGACGACGAUGCGUAGGGGUUCUGAGAGGAAGGUCCCCCACACUGGUACUGAGACACGGACCAGACUCCUACGGGAGGCAGCAG